GACGAACGCUGGCGGCGUGCCUAACACAUGCAAGUCAACUUGACUGAAGGAGCAAUCUGACAGUAGAGUGGCGCAAGGGUGCGUAACGCGUAAGUAACUUGCCCAAGGUAAGGAAUAACGUCGAGAAAUCGGCGCUAAUACCUCAUAAUGCAGCGGAUCCGCAUGGAUAUGUUGUUAAAGGUUUACCGCCUUGGGAUAGGCUUGCGUCUGAUUAGCUAGUUGGUGUGGUAACGGCACACCAAGGCUACGAUCAGUAACUGGUCUGAGAGGAUGAUCAGUCACACUGGAACUGAGACACGGUCCAGACUCCUACGGGAGGCAGCAGUGAGGAAUAUUGAGCAAUGCUCGAAAGAGUGACCCAGCAACGCCGCGUGGAGGAUGAAGGUAUUCUAUAUCGUAAACUCCUGUGAGAGCAGACGAAAGACAGAUUAUUAAUCUGGAUGACUGUAUGCUCAGAGGAAGCCCCGGCUAACUACG
rnacentral:rRNA from 1 species